rnacentral:piRNA from 1 species
UUCAGACCCAGCAGCUCCAUGCAG